GAUGAACGCUGGCGGCGUGCCUAAUACAUGCAAGUCGAGCGAACAGACGAGGAGCUUGCUCCUCUGACGUUAGCGGCGGACGGGUGAGUAACACGUGGAUAACCUACCUAUAAGACUGGGAUAACUUCGGGAAACCGGAGCUAAUACCGGAUAAUAUAUUGAACCGCAUGGUUCAAUAGUGAAAGACGGCUUUGCUGUCACUUAUAGAUGGAUCCGCGUCGCAUUAGCUAGUUGGUAAGGUAACGGCUUACCAAGGCAACGAUGCGUAGCCGACCUGAGAGGGUGAUCGGCCACACUGGAACUGAGACACGGUCCAGACUCCUACGGGAGGCAGCAGUGGGGAAUCUUCGGCAAUGGGCGAAAGCCUGACGGAGCAACGCCGCGUGAGCGAUGAAGGUCUUCGGAUCGUAAAACUCUGUUAUUAGGGAAGAACAAAUGUGUAAGUAACUAUGCACGUCUUGACGGUACCUAAUCAGAAAGCCACGGCUAACUACGUG
rnacentral:rRNA from 1 species